GAUGAAGAACGUAGCGAAAUGCGAUAAGUAAUGUGAAUUGCAGAAUUCAGUGAAUCAUCGAAUCUUUGAACGCACCUUGCGCCUUUUGGUAUUCCGAAAGGCACACCUGUUUGAGCGUCAUGAAUACCUCAAUCUCCAUCUUUUCUUCGGAUUGAUGGGUGACUUGGAUGUUGAGCCCUGCUGGUAUGCUAUAUCAGCUGGCUUUAAACUAUUAGCCGGCUCUGUACUGGAUCGGUUUGACUCGACGUGAUAAUAUUAUCGUUGAGGAUGCAUGUCUCAUGCAGCCGGAAAGUAUCAAAGCAGCUUCUAGCUUGCCUUUAGUGCACUUUUACAUUUUAGACCUCAGAUCAGGUGGGACUACCCGCUGAACUUAAGCAUAUCAAUAAGCGGAGGA
rnacentral:misc_RNA from 1 species